GUUUUUUCCUGUAGAAUACCGUCAGGAAGUUCACCAUCCAAACCAAAGCCCUCUUCAGAGUCUACGGUUAAAUACAUAUCGACCAACAACAGUUCACCAUUGCAUUCCAUCAAAAUCUUCUUGUCGCCACCAAAUACAGGUUCAGCAAUCAACGUGACCUUAUCUUGAGAUCCCACCAGGAAGGUAGCCCCAGAAUUAUCAACAGCAUAAAACUCCCCCUUAAACAAUAUAACAUCAUCAUAAGGCAAGGCAGUGUGAG
rnacentral:misc_RNA from 1 species